AGCGGCGGACGGGUGAGUAACGCGUGGGAAUGUGCCCUUCUCUACGGAAUAGCCACUGGAAACGGUGAGUAAUACCGUAUACGCCCUCAGGGGGAAAGAUUUAUCGGAGAAGGAUCAGCCCGCGUUAGAUUAGGUAGUUGGUGGGGUAACGGCCUACCAAGCCUACGAUCUAUAGCUGGUUUUAGAGGAUGAUCAGCCACACUGGGACUGAGACACGGCCCAGACUCCUACGGGAGGCAGCAGUAGGGAAUCUUGGACAAUGGGGGCAACCCUGAUCCAGCCAUGCCGCGUGAGUGAUGAAGGCCCUAGGGUUGUAAAACUCUUUCAUCGGUGAAGAUAAUGACGGUAGCCGAAGAAGAAGUCCCGGCUAACUCCGUGCCAGCAGCCGCGGUAAUACGGAGGGGACUAGCGUUGUUCGGAAUUACUGGGCGUAAAGCGCGCGUAGGCGGACUGGUCAGUUGGGGGUGAAAUCCCGAGGCUUAACCUCGGAACUGCCUUCAAUACUGCCAGUCUUGAGUUCGGAAGAGGUGAGUGGAAUUCCUAGUGUAGAGGUGAAAUUCAUAGAUAUUAGGAAGAACACCAGUGGCGAAGGCGACUCACUGGUCCGAUACUGACGCUGAGGUGCGAAAGCGUGGGGAGCGAACAGGAUUAGAUACCCUGGUAGUCCACGCCGUAAACGAUGGAUGCUAGCCGUUGGACAGUAUACUGUUCGGUGGCGCAGUUAACGCAUUAAGCAUCCCGCCUGGGGAGUAC
rnacentral:rRNA from 1 species